CCUACGGGAGGCAGCAGUGAGGAAUAUUGGUCAAUGGACGCAAGUCUGAACCAGCCAUGCCGCGUGCAGGAAGACGGCUCUAUGAGUUGUAAACUGCUUUUGUACGAGGGUAAACGCAGAUACGCGUAUCUUUCUGAAAGUAUCGUACGAAUAAGGAUCGGCUAACUCCGUGCCAGCAGCCGCGGUAAUACGGAGGAUUCAAGCGUUAUCCGGAUUUAUUGGGUUUAAAGGGUGCGUAGGCGGUCGGAUAAGCUAGAGGUGAAAUCCCGAGGCUCAACUUCGGAAUUGCCUCUGAUACUGUUCGGCUAGAGAGUAGUGGCGGUAGGCGGAAUGUAUGGUGUAGCGGUGAAAUGCUUAGAGAUCAUACAGAACACCGAUUGCGAAGGCAGCUUACCAAGCUACUUCUGACGUUGAGACACGAAAGCGUGGGGAGCAAACAGGAUUAGAUACCCCUGUAGUC
rnacentral:rRNA from 1 species